UUAGCCUUUUAUUUAUUUUUAGAUUUAUUUAUCUUAUUUUAUGGGUAUGAGUGAUUUGCUUGCAUGUGUGUGUGUUCACCAUGUGAAUACCUAGUGCCCUCAGAGGUCAGAGGAGGGUCUUGGAUCUCCUGGAACUGGACUUGAGGACAGUUCUGAGCACCACUGGGGUGCUGGACACUGAACCUGGGUCCUAUGCAAGAACAACAGCUGAGCCAUCUGUCCAGCUGAGAUUAAUUUUGUCUUUCUUACCCCUCAUUGCUCCUCUUCGUUCCUUCUCCCUAGAGUACAAUUUUUGCACGUAGUCAUAAGGUGUGUAUUAGUCAGGGUUCUCUAGAGCCACAGAACUUAUGAAUAAUCUCUAUAAAGUAGGGGAAUUUGCUAUGGUGAAUUACAGUCUGUAGUCCAACUCCCCAACAAUGGUCAUCUAUGAAUGGGAAGUCCAAGGAUCUAGUAGUUACUCAGUCCCACAAGACUAGUAGAGUCCAACAGAUGUGCUGGUAAGUAAAUACAAGCAGGAGAAGACUGAACCUUCCUUCUUCCAAUGUCCUUAUGUAGGUCUCUAGCAGAAGGUGUAACCCAGACUAAAGGCAUGUAUCACCAUGCCUGGAUCUGACCCAUGCUGACCUUGAACUCAGAGAUCUCCUUGCUUUAGUCUCCUGACAUUCAUAGCCACUAUGCCUCAAGAUCGCCAUGACAAGAUCUAGGUCAAAAACUUCUAUCUCCCAGCCUCAAGAUCUGAACCACAGGUGAGCCUUCCAAUUCUGGAUUGCAGUUCAUUCCAGAUACAGUCAAGUUGACAACCAGGAAUAGACAUUACAAGGUGUACGCGCCUUGUAGGUACACUUGUAAAAGUCAAAUUGUUUUAUUUAGUUGUAGAAAUUUUAGUCAUGAAUAUGAGCUGAAUUACCACAAAUUACUUUUUAAACACUUAUCUAGGUUGUACCACAUUUUACUCUAUAUAGUGUUACUAAGGGUUCUUCAAAUCUUAAACCAUUCUUGCAUGUUGAAGUAGGCCUGUUUCGACACAGCACACUCCCUUUCUGCAUGUGUUGCUCCAUUUGUUUCAUAGAUGACAUUAGCAGUAAAAUGGAUUUGAUGUUCUUUUUGUUGUUACAAAAGACCAUGUAAAACAUGGUCGUGCUUUGACUGCGAAUGCCCCCAUAGGUUCACGUACUGUAAUACUUGGUCCCUAUCUGGAGAACAGACUUCCAUCAGAUACGAUUGUGGCCACAUGCUCCUGCCACCGCACAGCAGCCUGCUGUCAUCAUACCUUACUAACAGGAUGCUCUCGCAAACCAUGAGCCAAAAUAACCCUUUAUUCCUCUUGGUUGUUUCUGCCAUGCAUUUCAUCUCAAUAAUAAGAGUAACUAAUAGAACAUUAUUCUAUAUUGGCUUGUAAUUUUCCUUUUAAAAAAUGGUCUUGUUAGGUAAACUGAGGCCCCAGAGAAGAGAUGAAUAGAGAGAUUCUAUUCUCUGGGAAAGUUUAGGUACAAGAAAUAUUAUUUCAUGCUUAAGCACCUGGUUAAAUUUAUCAGCAAAUUGAUCUGAUUCCAAAGUUUUCCCUUUUGAAAGCUUCAAAGUAUGUAUUCCCCACAGUUGAAACUGAUCCUCUGUCAUCUGCCUGGUGAUGCAGGACAUGGAAUCUUUCUGCGUAUCUUUUCGGUUUUCUUGUUUGUUUGUUUGUUUGUUUGUUUGUUUGUUUUUUGUUAUUGCCAGCUAGUUCCCUUUUAGGCUGUGCCAGUGAGAAUCACUGCAGGAGAUCUGGUGGAUGUGAAGGAGAGAGAUAACUAUCCUUAAGUGUGGUUUCCCUGGGGCUUCCUGUCUGUUUUGGUCAGCAUCAGGAGCUUCCUUUUGUCCCUCGGUAGCUGAUGUUAUUCCAGUGCAGAGGGCUGCCCCUCCUUUGCCCUUGGAAGCACCUGUCUCCCUGUACACUUUCAGAAGCACCAGCCACUGGUACGCCACCCUCAGAGGGUUGCAGUUUUUGUUGUGUGGGUUCCAUCCAAAGCUUCUAAGAAUACCUAUUACUCUAGUUCUAGGGGAACUUGGUGCUCCCCAAAGUUGCUCAUUCGCUCGAUAAAGUAUAAAACAUUAAUGUUUUAUUUUGCCUUGCGGGUUUCUCUAGAAUAAACUUUUCGCCAAAGAGAGCCAGGUUCUGGUCCUCCAAACUUGUGAAUGUGUUAUUUGACAUGGCAAAAGGUGCUUUGCGGACAUGAUUAGUUGAUCUGAGGUGGGAAGAUUAUCCUAGUUCACCUGCCUGGUCCCAAGUAAUCACAGGGUCCUCAUGAGGGGAAGGAAGUUGAGUAGAGUCCGAGAAAGAAAGCAGGUACAGAGUAUGGGCUGGAGCAAUGAAGGGGGUGGGGGUGCUGACAUAAGACAUGCAGAUGGCUUCUAGACGCUGGGAAAGGCAAGGAAACAGCUUGUCCCCAGGGAUUAACUUCAAAAGGAACAUAGUUCUGUCAAGACUGAUUUAACCCAGUGAAGCUAUUUUGGACUUCUGACUUCAGAGCUGAAAGGUAACGAAUCUGUGUUGGGAGCUGGAGAGAUGGCUCAGCAGUUAAGAGUUCAGUCCUCAACACCUAAGUCCGGCAGCUUACAACUUCCUAUAACGACAGCACCAGAGGGUCUGAUACCUUUUGGCUUCUGUAGGAACCUGCACAUAGCCCCCUCCCUACCCCCUGCCCUCUACUACAUACAUAGGCAUGAUUAAAAAUGAGCUCAAUAGGGGUUGGGGAUUUAGCUCAGUGGUAGAGCGCUUGCCUAGCAAGCGCAAGGCCCUGGGUUCGGUCCCCAGCUCCGAAAAAAAGAAAAAAGAAAAAAAAAUGAGCUCAAUAAAUCUGUGUUGUCUAAGUCACUAGUCUGUGAUAAUUCGCCCCAGCAAUAAUAGAAGACUACUUCAUUUACAUGGUUAGAAUUCUACAUCAAAUUCUUUCUGUUAAAAUACAGACCAUAGUUUCCUGUCUUAGUUAUUGUUCUAUUACUGUGAGAGACACCAUGACCAAGGAAGCUCUUACAAAAGAAAGCAUUUAAAUUAAGGAUUAUAUAACAGGUUCAGAGGUUUAGUCCAUUAUCAUCAUGGUGGGAAGCAUGGUAACACACAGGCAGACAUGGUGCAGGAAAAGUAGCUGAGAGCUAUAUUCUGUUUUUCAGGUAGCAAAAACGAGAGGCAGAGACAGAGACAGAGACAGAGACAGAGACAGAGACAGACAGACAGACAGACAGACACACACACACACAGAGAGAGAGAGAGAGAGAGAGAGAGAGAGAGAGAGAGAGAGAGAGAGAAUCUGUGCUUGGUAUAGGUUUUUGAAACCUCAGAGCCCACUCCCAGUGACACAUCUCCUCUAACAAGGCCACACCUCCCAAUCCUUCCCAAACACUUCAACUGGGGAUUAAGCAUGUAAAUCUAUGAGCCUAUGGAGGCCAUUGUCAUUCAAACCACCACAGCUGUCAUGCUUUGAUCUGACUUUUGGUCUCAGAUCACACUCUACCUAUGUGAUGCAGAAUCAACCAAUUAGUUGAAUCACUUCAAUCAAUUUAUUGAGAAAAAGAAUGAGUUGAGUAACUGAUCAAAGGUUGUGACACUGGACCUCGCCUACCUAAACCACAGUGGAAACACACCUGUUGUGGUUCUGAAAUGAAUAAAAGGUAGAUGCCAGGGGGCCAUCAGCAUUCAUCCCUCUUUGCUUCCUGACUGUGGUUGCAAUGUGACUUGUGGCUGGAAGCUCCUGCUGCUGUAAUGCCCUGCCAUUAUGAAGCAAAUUCUCAAACUGUGAAGGAAAUAAACCCUACUCCUUUACUUUUGUCAUCCCCUUUUUUUGGUCACAAUAAUAAGAAAAAACACUCACUAUACCCUCCCAAAGGAAAGAUUCAUGGCCUGUAUGGGCAGCAGAGCAAUUGGUUACUGUUAUAAUUCACAUUUCUUUGUUUGCAUUUUCUCAUAAGUAUGUAUGAGUGAGAUCCAAUCCGUAAAGCUUUUAAAGAAGCAGCUAGCAAGAAACCAGGAAGGGUGGUGUGUAACUGUAAUCCUGACAGUUAGAAGCCUUAGACAGGAGCUUCUCAAGUUUGAGGUCAGCCUGGGGUAUAUAGGAAGAUCCUGUCUCAAAACCAAAAGAACGUAAAACAAAUAAAAAAAAACCAAACAAACAAUAAUAUGAGAAAAUAAAUCCAUUGUCUCUUCUUUCCAUGGUACCUUGUGCCUGUACUAUGCCUGACUUUGUUCAGCAGGUGUCUUAGGAUUUCUAUUGCUGUGAUAAAACACCAUGACCAAAAGCAAUUUGGGGAGAAAAGUAUUUGCCUCAUCUUAUAACUUUUAGAUGAUACUCCAUUGCUGAGAGAAGUCAGGGCAAGAGCUCAAGGCGGAAUGCAGGAACUGAGGUAGAAGCCCUGGAAGGACAAGGCUUGCUGCCCACAAUAUGGAGCCUACCCACAUGAAUCAUGAAUGAAGAAAAUGUACGAUGGGUUUCCCUGUAGGCUGAUGCCAUGGAAGAUUUUCCUCAAUUGAGAGUCACUCUUCCCAAAUAACUCUAGCUUGUGUCAACCUGACAAAAGCCUAACCAACACAGCAGGGGUGUCAGAGACCCAAGAGCAUAGAAAUGAGAGCUCUGUGGCCCAAGCAAUUCCUUCUUGCAUUGAAACUACGAUCUUUCACAAGACAGCACUGUGGCUUAAGCCCGAAGAAAUCAAUCUCUUAUAGACAGGGUUCAUCCAGUGAUGAAAGGCUUUGCUAAUGGAACAUAUUGGAAAGAAGACCAAGUCUGGAGAAAUCAGGCUAUGCAAUUGCCAAUUUCAUGAAAAGCGGUUCCAACACCAAGAGGCCCUCUACUUCUGGGCCAAAGAUCACUCAAGAGCUUGAUCUUCAAUCUGCAAUGGCAGACUGUAGCUCUGUGACGCCGAAUAGCUCUCUUCUGUGGAGGGAGGUUUCUGCUCGGUCUCUGUGAGUGUGUGUAAGGAGCGCACCUACUCAGGCAAACUGCUUUGCUCUCGGUUUUGUCAAGUUUGCCCCAACGAUUGGCUAGGACAAUAGCAGUCAGGUUGAAGGAUGUUUGGAUGUUAAAGGAUUCCAAACACCCACUUAAUGUGGCUUUAAGAAUGGUAAUGUAACAUAUUAUAACAAUAACAUGCUUCUGGUCUUUCCAUAAAACAACACUGUUACAUUGCAUGUGGCCAUUUGUAUCUUUUAAAAGUAAGCUAAAGGGAGGUGGCGGGGCUUCUAGAGUGCCUCUCUCACAAGCAUGGGGAUGGGAGUUGGACAUCAGGACCAUGUAGCAGUUCUGGAAACAGUGGUGUGGACUUGUACUCCAGGGGAGGGGGAGAUGAAUUGCUGAGAUCUGCAUUCGGGGAGAGAUGGUGUCAUAAAGGAUAUGGACAGUUUUUAACCUUUAUUUAAAAUGUUUGAGAAUUUUAUAUAUGAGUAUUAUAUUUACAUAACUUCAACCCCUCUCUAUCUCCCCCAGCCCUUCCAUGUCAUCCUACUUCCUCUCAUAUUCAUGACCUAUUCUUUAAUCUUUUAGACUCUCUGUCUCUGUCUGUCUCUGUCACACAAGUAGAAGAGGCCCAGAAGUAGAGGGCCUCUUGGUGUUGUUUUUUUUUUUUAUUUUAUUUUAUUUUUUUUUUGUAUAUGUCUGUUUUUAGAGCUGACCAUUGGGAGGGACUAACUAGCCCAUUAGGGAGUUCUUGCCUGGAGAGGACUAAUUCUCUCUUUUAAUAGUUAUUCAUUUUCUGUAGCUCUUCAUCUAGAGGUGGAGCCUAUGAGGUUUCCCGCACCACAUUGGAAUGUCAGCUUGGGUUGUUAACUGUGUGCAGAUCCUGCUUAGGUGCCCACCAUUUUAAGAUUCAUGGAUACAGUUUCCUCGAUGUAUCUAGAAGACACUUUCUCACAGCAGACAUCCUGAUAGUCUGUCUUUGAUAGUCUUUAUGCCACCUACUCCACGAUGUUUCCUGCGUCUUAGGUGUAGGGCUUGUGUGGUCAGUAUACCAGUAAGGGCUAGGCAUUCCAUAGUCCAACCUGCAUUGGCCCUGCAUUUUGACCUGUUGUGGCUUUCUAAAAUGGAUCUUUUCUGUUGCAAAAAGAUGCUUCUUUGAUUAGAAGUGAGAUCUCCCCUCCUCUGUGGGUAUAAAGGUUUAGAGUAUAGUUAGAAAUCGCACUGGUCUUAGGAAAGUAGCAGUAACAGGUUCUGCUCUAGGGUCCAUGCUCUCAUGAGGCAAGGGUUGUUGGCUAGGCUUACAGUACCGGGCAUGGAUCCCUCCCAGAGAGUUGGCCUUACGUCCAUUUAGAGUUGUUACCCUCCAGAUGAAAGCAACACUGGGGGUAUCUUAUCAUGCUGGCCAUAUUGUGUUUUGGAGGCCAUAGCAAGCAGGACUCUUGAUUGCUUUUCCCCACUGGCAGCUUGUAUAGCUAGCACACACACACACACACACACACACACACACACACACACACACACACACCAAUAGGUACCUACAUACUCCUUCCUCUGUACACAUGAAUACCCACAUACCCACAACCCCCCCACAUACACACAUAUACACCCACAUCCCCCACACACCAAUACCCCCCUCACACCUCAAAAGUGCAUUUAAAAGUGUACAAAAGUGAAUUUAAAAGAAGAAAGAAAUGAUCUUCUAAUUUGGGGUAGCUAAUGAGGAUUGUCAAAGGAUGGGGCUCUUUGGAAUUUAAGUGCUCUACAGGGCAGAGGUAUUGUUGUAAAAAUAUAAUAAUAAAAAAUGUAUUGUUGUCUUUUACCUCGCUAGGUCCAGCACCGCGGUGCCCCAAGAUAUCUCCUAGAUAUCUUGUCAGAAACACAUCCCAACUCUGCGGUGACCCAGACCAGUCGCCCCACACUCCAUUACACUUAAAUCUACACAUUAAAGAACACACAACACAAUAACCUUAGAUUCAAUUGAUACGAUAUAAUUGCCUACCUAAACAUACUGAAAGAUCCCCGAAGAGAGACCCUUUCUAAAGUCUUGGGAAAUCGCGGACCCCAGACACAGAGAGACCAUUUUGGAUGUAAUAAGCAAAGGCGAGGUUUAUUAAGGAGACCUAUUACAGAGAUCUCCGGCCGACACAUAUCCCGCGCAGGAGACAGAGGUGUCGACCCCGAGAGGCUGGGAGAAAGAGCAUUUAAAGGCAGAGGCUGUGAGCCCAGGGGAUGGGGGAUGUCAAAGGGGAAGGCACCACAAGUUACAGGAUUGUUUUAUGGCUCCAGGAGAUAAGGGGAUGCCAGAAGGUUUUAUGGCCCCCUGGUUCCUGGAACAGAGCUACUAAAUCAGGAGAAGGGUAGGGUCUUCAGGUCCUCAUUAUUUUUAAAAGUUUGUCAAAAUUGAUGAAACAUCUAUAUUUGAAACACCUCUGGUUAGGCUUGGGCCGCCGGUUUCUUGGAGUGCUCUCUGUAGGACGCAAUGGCUGGAAAGCACAAGUAGGGGCUUAAAUAAACAUCACAGGGGCAGAACAAAGAACAGUUACUCACACCAGGUGAUAAGCAAAGUAGUUCUCUUGUAUUUCUUUUCUUUAUCUUUAUGGCCUGCUGCUCCUGAGUUUGUGGCUUUUGGGGCUUACUCUUUUAAUUUUAUAUUUUUAAACCUUAAAUUCGUAUAAUUUCCUUUCAAUACAAAGCCCAGUACCAUCCAUCCCUUAAGAACAUUCAUAACAACCUGUAAAUACACAGAGCAGAAUCUUUUUUUUUUCUUUUUCCUUUUUUCGGAGCUGGGAACUGAACCCAGGGCCUUGCGCUUGCUAGGCAAGAGCUCUACCACUGAGCUAAAUCCCCAGCCCCCCACAGAGCAGAAUCUUAAGGUCAGCCUCCAUCUUCCUGCCAUGGCUUCUCUCUCCUGUCUCUUCCUCCUUUCCGUUCCAGUCUCCUCUUCCUUCAAACUUCUCUCCCGCCCAUCCUUCCUUCUCCUCCAAUGACAGGCCUCCUUCUAUCCUGUCCCUGCCCCUCACCAGUACUUUACAGAUUCAAUGGGGAGAAGGUUCUGGUGAAGUCACCUGAUUCCUGAACAAGUGACUAGGCAGCUGUCCUUGGGGCAGUGGAAUUAGCAUCAAAAUACAGAUGACUCCAGAGCAAACCACAGCACAGAGGAAUCAGGACAAAAGGUGACAUUGAGAAGCCAAAUUGUGAAAGACUAGAAAAAUUCAGAAAAUAUCCAAGGUUUUACAAAGUAUCUGUUUGUACUAAAAAUCUGUUCCUUCUUCCAAAGUCAGUACAUGGUCCCAGUGAAGGACCUUCCUGUGUGACCUUUCACAACUCAGUAGGGACCUUCCCUUAGAGAGACCGGACAGAGUCUAUAGUGAAGCACACAAAGACCUUAGAAGGCGCCUGUAGUGAGGUUUGGUUCCUUUAAAAACCCAGUUACAUCCUUUUGGAACUGGGUUACUUUACUCAGGAUGAUAGUCUCAAGAUCCAUCCAUUUGCCUGUAAAAUCCAUGAUGUCUUUGUUUUUCACAGCUGAAUAGUAUUCCAUUGUACAAAUGCACCUCAUUUUCUUUAUCCAUUCUUUGCACUGCCACCAGCAAUGGAGGAGUGUCCCCUUGCUGCACAUCCUCGCCAGCAUCUGCUAUCACUUGAGUUUUUGAUCUUAGCCAUUCUGACUGGUAUCAGAUAGAAUCUCAGGGUCGUUCUGAUUUGCAUUUUUCCAAUAACUAAGGACCUUGUACAUUUCCUUAAGUGCUUCCGGGUCAUACAAGAUUCCUCUGUUGAGAGCUCUGUAGCUCUGUGCUCCAUUGUUUAAUUGGGUUAUUUGGGUCGUUGGUGUUUGCCUUAUCAAGUCUAGCAUGGCUGUCCUCCUGGAGGCUCUAUCAUCAUAGACUCAGACAGAUGCAGACACCCACAGCCAAACAGUGGAUGGAGCCUGGAGCCUUAUGGAAAAAUAGGAGAAAGAACCGCAGCUCCUAAGAGAAUAGAAACUCCAUAGGAAGAUCAACAGAAUCAACUAACCUGGACCUUGGGACUCUCAGAGACUGAACUACUAACCAAAGAACAUACACGGGUUGGACCUAGGCCUCCGCACACAUAUGUAACAGAUGUGCAGUUUGGUCUUCAUAUGGGUCCUGAACAACUGGGGAAGGGGCUAUCCCAAUAGCUGUUACCUGUAUGUCAGAUAUGUUCUUCUAGCUCCGCUGCCUUUUCUGGCCUCAGUGGGAGAGUAUGUGCCUAUCCUCACAAAAACUUGAAGUGCCAGCAUUGGGGAAUAACCGGGAGGGGGAGCACCUGCUUAGAGGAGAGGAGAAGGAGAUGGAGGGAUUGUGGGAGGGGCUAACUGAGAGGGGAGUAGUGAGCAGUAUGCAAAGUGAAUAAGUAAAUAAUAAUAAUAAUAAUAAUAAUAAUAAUAAUAAUAAUAAUACCCAGUUAUGUUAUGUGAAUAUGCUGUUGUUUUAAUCCCAGAUGUGGAAUAAUGGGCUGCUUCUGUUUGUCCACAGCUGUUAACUAUGUUGCCUCAUGUUCUGGGAGGGAUGUGAUUUUUACCGGCUACAGAUAGUUUAAUUCUGGGGUCUUUGGAGAGGGAAGAAAGGCCUGAGCCCCGAGAGGGGUGGGAAGUGCUCUGUAGAAGAAAGUGGCUGCUGCUUGUUCCUGCUGGUUCCUGCUGCUGUGUGCUGUUGUGUUUGAUAUUGCAGGUUUGCUGGGCUGCUGGAUAUUCUGACGAGGAAGAUUGGACUUGCCCCAGGAACCCAAUGCACCUGGUCAGGAGGACAUGGCCUAGAGAGAGGUCUAUGUCCCCCUUUCCUCUAACCUUUCUCUCCUAUCUAGUGUUGGGGGCUUGGAAGGGAUUAGGGAGGGAUGAGGGUUGGAAGGGAGGUAGAGGUAAUAGAACCCAGUAAAAUAGUAAAAACAAAUAAUCUAACAGGUCCCCCUCACACACACCAGAAUGACACCACCCAGGACAAUGUACAGGCUUGGCCAUCCUUCCUCCAAAACACACCCCCUCACCCAGUAGAGCCAAAGUUAAUAGAACAGUGACACGGAGACUGAGGAGAAAUCAAGUAAGCAAGUAUCAAGAGCAUUCUAAGAAUCCACCUGCUUCAACCAUUCACGGCCAACCACCCCGUUUAGAGAGAAUCUUCACUCAUUCACUAAGCGCCACUGCUGAACUUUUAGCAUCCUUUUGGACUCAUUUCCUUUUUGCUAACAGGACCACUUGAACUACAGGAUGUGGACGAUCAACUCAUCCUUCCUCAUUAUCCAGAAGGGUUUGAGAAGUGUGAUGACAGCUAAGAUUGUACUUUCCCAGUGUCUCCUCUCUACUUACUGCAAUCCCAGUGUACACUUAGGCAGCGAUGUCUCAUACAUGGACAACCUUAUGCAAACCUCAGGCUACUGAAACCUUACUAGCUGGGGUUGUAAUGUUCUAGAAUAUCUGCCACUUAAGUAUAGGGCCCUAAGGCCAGUCUCCAGUAUAGUAACAAAAAUGAAAAGUAUCCCUACUGGGAAGCAACUAGAGUGCUGGGAAAUCCAAUCAAGAACUAUUAACACAGAGGAAAGAAAGACGGCCAUCUUAGUCAAGGUUUCCAUUGCUGCAAAGAAACAACAUGGCCAAAAAACAACCAGGGGAGGAAAGGGUUAAGUCAGCUUAAACUUCUGCAUGCAUUGCUGUUCAUCAUCAAAGCAAGUCAGGACUGGAACUCAAGCAGGGCAGGAACCUGGAGGCAGGAGCUGAUGCAGAGGUCAUGGAGGGGUGCUGCUUAUUGGCCUGCUCCUCAUGGCUUGCUCAGUCUGCUUUCUUUUUUUUUUUUUUUCAUCUGUGACUCCAGACAGGAUCCAAAGAGGAAGUGCAGUUUUCCUCUCUGGGUUUUAUGGAGACUUCCUUUACCCUUCUGUGUUAGUCUGCUUUCUUAUAGAACCCAGAACCACCUGCCCAGGGAAUGGCACCACCCACAGUGGGUUGUGUCCUCCCACAUCAAUCAUUAAUUAAGAAAAACACUUUACAGCCAGGUCUUAUGGAGACAUAGUCUCAAUUAAUGUUCCCUCCUUUCUGAUAACUCUAAUUUAUGUGUCAAGUUGACAUAAGAUUAAUCAGCCCAACAAGAAAAUGCAGGACGUUCUUAGUGUUAAUGAACACAUAUGUAUGAUUUUUUUUUAGGCAUAUGGUUGUGUCUCUAAUAAAUUAAAGGUAAAUGUGCUAGCCUGUUUUGGCAAGGCUGGGGAAACAGGUCUGGCUCUGGGAAUCAGAUAAGUCAAGAAUGUUCCCUGCUGGGUCACAGUUUCUAAUUUUGGAUGAAGUCAUGUAGUCUGUGGGACAUUCAAGAACAUAGCUAUAGGAAAACAAGAUCCCUCAAAUCUCACUUUAGAUUUACACAUGUUGAAACCUCAAUGGAAAGAAAUUUGACAAAGUCUGUCCCAAUCACUGAAGCAUCUGUCUUUUGGCCCAGCAGCCCUACCUCUGAGUGUCUGCUUUUUUCCCAUAGGCAAACUUCCACACAUGCAAUAAAUAGCAUUGGCACAGUGCCCAUGGUCACACUGGAAAUAGUCAAAUUGCUUUGCCGUCUACAACAAACUGGGUCAUAAGGCAUUUGCAUAGUGGGUAUUACAGGGACUCUCUCUACAAACUGUGUGACAUGUUGACAAGGACAAAAAACUAAAAUCACCCCCUCGUGUUCCCCCGUUUUUAAAAAAAUCCAACAGCAUUUUUUAAAAUGCAAACUUCUUUGCUUUAUUUUGCUUUUCGAGACAGGUUUUCUCUGGCUUGGUGGCCUUGAGUGUCCUGGAACUUGCUCUGUAGACCAAGAUGGCCUCAAACUCACAGAGAUCUGCCUGCCUCUGCCCCACAAGUGCUGGGACUAAUGACAUACUCCUUUUUAAAAUAUUGUUCAGAAAAAGAGAAGUCCUGCUGUGGUGGCUCACAUCUAUGAACCAAGAACUUCGGAAGCUAAGACAGAAGGCUCAGUUCUCAGGAUUUGGGCUGAACGAAGAAGCUCAAUGAAGUAGUGAGCACAUGGUCACUGUGGCUGCUGUGUCUCCCAGGUUUCCUAUUGUCCCGCGUCUCCUGUGAAAUGGCCUCUGAAUAUGUCAAAGAACCAUGGGGCACAGAGAACAGCUGCAGAUCCAGACCAGAGAUGCUCUAGAAAUUCAUUCGGGGCACUGGCUCGGUGGUAAAGAGCAUCUAUUGCUCGUGCAGAAGACCAGGG